rnacentral:rRNA from 1 species
GAUGAACGCUGACAGAAUGCUUAACACAUGCAAGUCCACUUGAACUUCGGUUUGGGUGGCGGACGGGUGAGUAACGCGUAAAGAACUUGCCUCACAGCUAGGGACAACAUUUGGAAACGAAUGCUAAUACCUGAUAUUAUGAUUAUAUGGCAUCGUAUAAUUAUGACAGCUAUAUGCGCUGUGAGAGAGCUUUGCGUCCCAUUAGCUAGUUGGAGAGGUAACAGCUCACCAAGGCGAUGAUGGGUAGCCGGCCUGAGAGGGUGAUCGGCCACAAGGGGACUGGGACACGGCCCUUACUCCUACGGGAGGCAGCAGUGGGGAAUAUUGGACAAUGGACCGAGAGUCUGAUCCAGCAAUUCUGUGUGCACGAUGAAGUUUUUCGGAAUGUAAAGUGCUUUCAGUUGGGAAGAAAAAAAUGACGGUACCAACAGAAGAAGUGACGGCUAAAUACGUG